rnacentral:rRNA from 1 species
GAUGAACGCUGGCGGCGUGCCUAAUACAUGCAAGUCGAGCGAACAGACGAGGAGCUUGCUCCUCUGACGUUAGCGGCGGACGGGUGAGUAACACGUGGAUAACCUACCUAUAAGACUGGGAUAACUUCGGGAAACCGGAGCUAAUACCGGAUAAUAUAUUGAACCGCAUGGUUCAAUAGUGAAAGACGGUUUUGCUGUCACUUAUAGAUGGAUCCGCGCCGCAUUAGCUAGUUGGUAAGGUAACGGCUUACCAAGGCAACGAUGCGUAGCCGACCUGAGAGGGUGAUCGGCCACACUGGAGCUGAGACACGGUCCAGACUCCUACGGAAGGCAGCAGUAGGGAAUCUUCCGCAAUGGGCGAAAGCUUGACGGAGCAACGCCGCGUGAGUGAUGAAGGUCUUCGGAUCGUAAAACUCUGUUAUUAGGGAAGAACAAAUGUGUAAGUAACUAUGCACGUCUUGACGGUACCUAAUCAGAAAGCCACGGCUAACUACGUG